rnacentral:rRNA from 1 species
AGAAUCAACGCUGGCGGCGUGCCUAACACAUGCAAGUCGAACGAGAAAGUGGAGCAAUCCAUGAGUAAAGUGGCGCACGGGUGAGUAACACGUGACUAACCUACCCUUGAGUGGGGGAUAACCUAGGGAAACCUGGGCUAAUACCGCAUAAUACCUUCGGGUCAAAGGAGCAAUUCGCUUAAGGAGGGGUCGCGGCCGAUUAGUUAGUUGGCGGGUAAUGGCCCACCAAGACGAUGAUCGGUAU